rnacentral:rRNA from 1 species
CUCCGGGCUUUGUUUGCGCAGGAUAGGUGGGAGGCGCUGAAAAUUUUCUUGCGGGAAGAUUGGAGCCGUUGGUGAGAUACCACUCUAACAAUGCUAGGAUUCUAACCCUACACCGUUAUCCGGUUAGGGGACAGCUUCAGGUGGUCAGUUUGACUGGGGCGGUCGCCUCCCAAAAGGUAACGGAGGCGUGCAAAGGUUUCCUCAGGCUGGUCGGAAAUCAGUCGUAGAGUGUAAAGGCAUAAGGAAGCUUGAUUGUGAGACCUACAAGUCGAACAAAGACGAAAGUCGGCCUUAGUGAUCCGACGGUUCCGAGUGGAAGGGCCGUCGCUCAACGGAUAAAAGUUACUCUAGGGAUAACAGGCUGAA